rnacentral:tRNA from 1 species
CGGGGUGUAGCGCAGUCCGGUUAGCGCACCUGGUUUGGGACCAGGGGGCCGGGGGUUCGAAUCCCUCCACCCCGACAA